GUGGCAAAGUAGAAGAAAGCGGUCAUAGAAUAUAUUUCUACGAGUUGCAUGUUUGCUGACCCUUUAACUAAACCUAUUUAUAGAAAUAUAUUUUUGGCUCAUGUUAAGUCGCUUGGACUUUGUAGAGUUUGAUUAUGUAGAUAGUUGAUCAUUUCUAUAUUAUUGGUAUAUAGAAUAUUUUUGGUUAUUCAUGCAAUAAUAAAAUUUUAUUAUUUAUCUAUAUUUUCUUUGCAUGAACCAAAAUUAACACAUGCAUAUAUACAUAUACACAUAC
rnacentral:lncRNA from 1 species